AAUAGAUACCCAGGUAGUCCACGCCGUAAACGAUGAGUGCUAAGUGUUAGGGGGGUUUCCGCCCCCUUAGUGCUGCAGCUAACGCAUUAAGCACUCCGCCUGGGGAGUACGGUCGCAAGACUGAAACUCAAAGGAAUUGACGGGGGCCCGCACAAGCGGUGGAGCAUGUGGUUUAAUUCGAAGCAACGCGAAGAACCUUACCAGGUCUUGACAUCCCGCUGACCGGCCUAGAGAUAGGCUUUUCCCUUCGGGGACAGCGGUGACAGGUGGUGCAUGGUUGUCGUCAGCUCGUGUCGUGAGAUGUUGGGUUAAGUCCCGCAACGAGCGCAACCCUUGAUCUUAGUUGCCAGCAUUCAGUUGGGCACUCUAAGGUGACUGCCGGUGAUAAACCGGAGGAAGGUGGGGAUGACGUCAAAUCAUCAUGCCCCUUAUGACCUGGGCUACACACGUGCUACAAUGGACGGUACAGAGGGUCGCAACCCCGCGAGGGUGAGCUAAUCCCAUAAAACCGUUCUCAGUUCGGAUUGUAGG
rnacentral:rRNA from 1 species